GCUGUCCUCUCCAUCUUUGGGACCAGCCUUUCCUACUGCCACAAAUCCAGCCUGUGCACACUCUGUUCCUUCUCCUGGGAUGCUCUUCCACCCCUGUCCCCAAUGAAUCUCAGACAUCCUUGGUUGUCAGCUAAAGAUGACUUACUGGGAUGACCCCUGAUCCUCUGACCAGGCCAUCCCUGGAGGACAGUGCUUCGUGUCUUGCUCUCUCAUCUGUGCUUAGCAAAGACACACUGUUUGAUGCUAAGCUGAAAACUUGGGAUGGGUGUAGCUUGACACUACAUACAUAAUGCUCAGCUCAGCAUGGCAUGACCGGGUAUGACCAAGCCGUGUGCCAGUCAUGCCAGCAGUUAUCAAUGUGCAGACAGGAGGGCCAGAAGUUCAAAGUUAUCCUUGACUUUAUAGUUCAAGGCUAGCCUGGCCUACAUGAGACCGUGUCUCAAACCAACCAACCAACCAACCAAUCAAACAAGGAUCAGGAGCUGUGCUAGGACAAGGCUGUGAAUUUGUGAGGCAGAAUCUACAAGCAAUGAGUGGAGAGCCCAUGCAGCUAAGAAAUCUGUUCCAUGCCCCACAGCUUAUGACUGUGGGACUCUGUGGACAUGAAACCUGGCUUGUAACUUCACACCUUCAUUGGGGUAGCAAGCUGGUCUGAAGCUCAAGACCACAUGAAGCCCUACAGAGUCUGCUUCUCCCUGCUUCCUGUUCCUCUACGUCGCUGGCUCUUUUCACAUCCCUCUUCGGAGCCUCCGGACCCUCUGUGCCCCAACUGCCUCCCACGCCCAUCCCUGCCCUCUUCUGCUUUGGUCCUUGCUCCAGACUGCUGCGCCAUCCUCAGAUUCUACUGCCUGCACUGGGAGGAGUCAGGUUUAUGGCAGAGCAUGUGUGUUGCUGAGAAGCCUCUCUGAUUCACGUUGGAUAUAGCACGAAGGUGUACAAGGAGAAGUGUCUGUCUGUGUGUCCAGCAUCCUGCAAAGGCCCAAGCACCGCAGCAAAGCAAAGAGCUCCAGGCACCCCAGUUUCAUUUCAUUUCCUCCAAAGCCCCUGGGAAUUCUUCUGAGCUCCCGGGGUUGCUGGUGAGCAGAAUCAGACUGGGAAAAGCCAUGCCAGGGGCUCAGCCGAGGGGUGUGAUCCUUGUGCCAAGAUCUCCAGUUUCGUGUUUUGUUUCUUCUGAAACACGCUCUGACCUGUAUAAUUUGAUGUUACUCACAUCUAAAUGCUAAUAAAACAACUGAAAUAUUUGCA
rnacentral:lncRNA from 1 species